rnacentral:rRNA from 1 species
CCUACGGGUGGCAGCAGUGAGGAAUAUUGGUCAAUGGGCGCAAGCCUGAACCAGCCAAGUCGCGUGAGGGAAGACGGCCCUACGGGUUGUAAACCUCUUUUGCCGGGGAGCAAGCCUGAGCACGUGUGCCCAGGCGGAGAGUACCCGGAGAAAAAGCAUCGGCUAACUCCGUGCCAGCAGCCGCGGUAAUACGGAGGAUGCGAGCGUUAUCCGGAUUUAUUGGGUUUAACGGGUGCGUAGGCGGGCCUUCAGGCCGGCGGUAAAAUUGCGGGGCUCAACCCCGCCGAGCCGUCGGAACCGGGGGCCUUGAGUACCGGAGAAGUACGCGGAAUGCGUGGUGUAGCGGUGAAAUGCAUAGAUAUCACGCAGAACCCCGAUUGCGAAGGCAGCGUACCGGCCGGUCACUGACGCUGAGGCACGAAAGCGCGGGUAUCGAACAGGAUUAGAUACCCGAGUAGUC